AUGUCGUUAAUUAUGAAGAAGUAGACGAUGAACAGUCGACGUAUACAGCUCUCAAUAAGCCUGGAGAAGUAAUUGAUGAUCAUUCAUAUGCUCAUUUAAAUGAGGUAACACAAAAUAUGUACGAAGAUCGAAAGGAAACUGGAUUCUAAUGUCUUAUCAAUGUAUAGUUAAUCAAGAUAUGAUCUGCUGUAAAUUUCAAAGUGUCUACAAUGAACUAGGAUUUUAUGUUGGAAACACAGCUUCACUAUGAAUAAAUGUUCUCAAUUUUUGUUUGUUAAAAUUUCCAUUGUACGUUUGAGUGUGCCAUUGGAUGAUUGCUUCAUUGUUAUGCCACAAAAUCUAUGUCUCGACCGUGCACAAAUUUACAUAGAAAUAAACAAAAGUGAAACAAAUUUAAAACUCUCUCCAGAUCAUAUCUUCAUUGACUAUGGUUUAGACAAAACCUGGUUCUUCGUUCUCUGAUUUUGCUUAACAAUUACGUGCAAUGAAAUGUAGAUGAAUCCAUUUUGUGAUAACAAAACAAUAAUGUAGCAGACGUAAUUGAUACUAACAAUUAAUCGAUGUAUUCUAAUUAAGGACUUGGAAUUAAUUAGACAAGGACCGUGCGUAAUAAUUAAACAGACGUAAUUGAUACUAAUAACUAAUCGAUAUAUUCUAAUUAAGGACUUGGAACUGCUUAGCCAAGGACCGUGCAUAAUAAUUAAGCAGAUGUAAUUGAUACUAAUAACUAAUUGAUGUAUUCUAAUU
rnacentral:lncRNA from 1 species